CCGGAAAUAGCAUCGGCCUAACCACCGCAGUACUACAAACAGUCGGCACCGAUCCUGGCCUAAGGCCAACACCAUCAGGCACGACACAAUCCGGCUGGGGACAACCGCGGUCUCGUAAAUAUGCAGUAGGUUCCCUUGCCUCAGCAGUAGCCCCGAAUCGUGCCGAGGAUCGUGUCAGGGGACACAGGAGGACGUACUUAACAAGAUUUACAAAGAUUCGGCGAUUCAACCUCCUCUACGACGUUCGCAGCAUCUACACCCGGAUCCGGAGAACGCAUCCCAUAGUAACCCAGGUUCCACUAAAUGCCGUUGAACUAGACUGUUGUAAUUACACGUCACAUCAUCUUCACCAGGAUGCUCCGGAAAUGAGCGGAUCUCCCGCCGGCAUGGGACCGAAGCAUUACAAAUCACCACAACAUCUCCACCAUCCGCCUUCACUGAAUCAUCAUCCGCAACACGGACCGCCCGUCGUGCCCGUUCCCAAGUCCGAGUUCGACGAUAACAGGCGUUGUGAUGAAGACGGAACCUACGCCUAGACUGCGACGGCCGCCACCGUAGGGAUGAUUCCUACCAAACAGUCGUGCUAGUCCAACCUCAUCGAGUACGGCGCUGACUAGUGGAGUCCGAACAAUCCGUCCGGCAAGCGAAAGUACUCGCGCGAUCAGCUGAUACAGUUCAAGAAUGCGGCAACAACUCACGAAAAACCGGCUGGAUCUUCGUAAUUGUCCUAACCAUGGAGGAGGUGCCCACGGGAUGGGCAUGGAUUAGCAUCUACGAGAUGCUUUUGCCGACGUUCAUCAAGGAUUGCAUGAGAGAUGGGGGCGGAGGAGAAAAAGGCGGUGUGAACAUGGGCCAAAUGAGACAACAACACAUGCCGAAACUACUGUCCGGAUCGCAGCCAAACAAACAAUCUCAGCAGGGCAUGAAUAUGGUGGAGAUACUAAGCGUGAACGAGAACAAACGGACCGCCCAGAUGUUGUCCCUCAGCAAUUGCACUCGGCAGGGUUUUCGUCGUCGUUAAUUUAGUGUAACAUAACUAAGAGUAAGUAAAAAAUAAUAACAUAAUUAAUAUUAAUAAUAAUAUGCGCUCGUCGUCAAGUAGGAAGUGCCCGUCGCUACUGAGCCUGAAACAAGAAAUGAACGCCACACCUGCCUGCGCCAUCAACCGAGACAACACCAAGCACCAAUCCAGCAACGGCCACCACCGUAACAAUGAUCCCGACGUGGGCCAGAGGAGUCCAAGCAAAAGUAAUGCUGCACCGGUUCGCAAAAAGUCCGUGAAUCUGCGCAACAGUUUGGAAAAGAAGCUGCAGCCGAUGUUGAUCAAAACAUUGCAUGGGAGGUGGUAGCGGAAGAGGAGAAGGUGGUUGCAACAUGGGCCAAAUGAGAUAACCGAACAUGCCGUAACGAGCACCCCGCGGGUCAUCAGCGGCCAAGUUCGGUUCGCAGUUAAACUGACAAUCCUAGCAGGGCAUGAAUACUUUGAAAAUUCUGGUUCAAAGACGAUGCAACCGCGCGUCGAACAUCUCAACCCCCUGUAGUGGCCAGAACGCAAAUCUACUCGCCGAACUGAGAUGGGACCGUCGCCUUGGCGCACUCCCGGUCCCAAAACAUCUGCAAACGUGGUCAAAUACAAUACGUAGAAGGAAACCGUGCUGGACGCCAAGAACUGGAAGCGUUCCGAAAGAACCGUCGCCGGCCGCUGUACACUCCCGGCGUCUAUGACAAACUGGACAAGGCGACCCUGGCCAAAGAAACGCCAGAACCGAUAGAACACCUUCUUCAAUCCGCCGGCCAACUCCUUCAGCACCUUCUUGGCAACCGACAAAACUCCACUGGGAGCGUCAGCGCGUGCAAGAAAAGUAAAUUUAUUUUCUUCAAAAAGUUCCAACCCAUUGUAAAAUAAUCCAAAUAAAUUAAAAUGAUUAAUUAAUGCCUAAAAACAACUAAUUUUAAUUGAAACAUAACCUAGAAAUCCGAAAUUACAGCGCACGACAAAGGCACGACAUCCUAAAUAACAAAACCGUGCGACGUCUGCCGAAUGUCGUACGACAAUGUCGCACAAUUUCGAUUAUCGAUCGCACGACACACACGACAUUUUGGUGCAAAAACGUAUGACAUUCGCGCGAAAGUCGUACGACAUUGUCGUGCGACGUCGUACAAUUGCACGGACGACAAACGACGGACGUCCGACGG